CAGGCGCAGCGCCCCUACCGCCCGCUUUUCUCCCUCCUUCUCCUCCUCCUCCUUCCCCCAGCCACCAGCGCAGUCACAACCGGUUCAGACUGGCCAGGGUGCCCGGCAAAGAAGAGAAACAAGGGGAAAAAACUGGGGGGAAAACUUCGCAGGGAGGAGGAAGAGAAGAAAAAAGGUGGAGCCCAAAGGAGAGGGCAGGCUCCCCAGCUCCAUGUGGCCGCCGCCGCCGCAGGUUUCAGCGGGGGCAGAGGGCGGCGGCCCCCGGGACAAGGCGUAGCGGGACGGAUUGCCCAAUACAGCUGCAGGGGCCGGGUCUCGGGAUAAAUAGCCGCCCGGCCAGGAGCUGCAGGGGAGAGUGGCAGCCGCGGUCCCUACCCUACCGCACCAUCUGCCCGGCCUGCGCCGGGUGCUGCGCCCCGGAGCCCCCUCCGAGGCCGGUACUCAGGACCUACAGAAAGCACCAACUUCACCUUACAAUGGAAUUUAAAAAAUCACCUGAUGGUGGAUGGGGCUGGGUAAUUGUGCUGGUCUCCUUCUUCACUCAGUUUUUGUGUUACGGAUCCCCGUUAGCUGUUGGAGUCUUAUAUAUAGAAUGGUUGGAUGUCUUUGGUGAAGGAAAAGGAAAAACAGCCUGGGUGGGAUCCCUGGCCAGUGGAGUUGGCUUGCUUGCAAGUAAGUGGAGAAAUGUAUGCCCCUCCUUACUGUUUCAUCCUUAAUUA
rnacentral:lncRNA from 1 species